GUGGGGAAUCUUCCGCAAUGGACGAAAGUCUGACGGAGCAACGCCGCGUGAGUGAUGACGGCCUUCGGGUUGUAAAGCUCUGUGAUCGGGGACGAAUGGCUGGUAUGCUAAUACCAUAUCAGAGUGACGGUACCCGAAUAGCAAGCCACGGCUAACUACGUGCCAGCAGCCGCGGUAAUACGUAGGUGGCAAGCGUUGUCCGGAAUUAUUGGGCGUAAAGCGCGCGCAGGCGGCUUCUUAAGUCCAUCUUAAAAGUGCGGGGCUUAACCCCGUGAUGGGAUGGAAACUGGGAGGCUGGAGUAUCGGAGAGGAAAGUGGAAUUCCUAGUGUAGCGGUGAAAUGCGUAGAGAUUAGGAAGAACACCGGUGGCGAAGGCGACUUUCUGGACGACAACUGACGCUGAGGCGCGAAAGCGUGGGGAGCAAACAGGAUUAGAAACCCGUGUAGUCC
rnacentral:rRNA from 1 species